AGGGGGCCAUCCCGGCUUACCAACCCGAUGCAAACUGCGAAUACCGGAGAAUGUUAUCACGGGAGACACACGGCGGGUGCUAACGUCCGUCGUGAAGAGGGAAACAACCCAGACCGCCAGCUAAGGUCCCAAAGUCAUGGUUAAGUGGGAAACGAUGUGGGAAGGCCCAGACAGCCAGGAUGUUGGCUUAGAAGCAGCCAUCAUUUAAAGAAAGCGUAAUAGCUCACUGGUCGAGUCGGCCUGCGCGGAAGAUGUAACGGGGCUAAACCAUGCACCGAAGCUGCGGCAGCGACACUGUGUGUUGUUGGGUAGGGGAGCGUUCUGUAAGCCUGUGAAGGUGUGUCGUGAGGCAUGCUGGAGGUAUCAGAAGUGCGAAUGCUGACAUAAGUAACGAUAAAGCGGGUGAAAAGCCCGCUCGCCGGAAGACCAAGGGUUCCUGUCCAACGUUAAUCGGGGCAGGGUGAGUCGACCCCUAAGGCGAGGCCGAAAGGCGUAGUCGAUGGGAAACGGGUUAAUAUUCCCGUACUUGGUGUUACUGCGAAGGGGGGACGGAGAAGGCUAUGUUGGCCGGGCGACGGUUGUCCCGGUUUAAGCGUGUAGGUGUGUGUUCCAGGUAAAUCCGGUUCACUUUAACACUGAGGCGUGACGACGAGGCACUACGGUGCUGAAGCAACAAAUGCCCUGCUUCCAGGAAAAGCCUCUAAGCAUCAGGUAACAUCAAAUCGUACCCCAAACCGACACAGGUGGUCAGGUAGAGAAUACCAAGGCGCUUGAGAGAACUCGGGUGAAGGAACUAGGCAAAAUGGUGCCGUAACUUCGGGAGAAGGCACGCUGACACGUAGGUGAAGUGAUUUACUCAUGGAGCUGAAGUCAGUCGAAGAUACCAGCUGGCUGCAACUGUUUAUUAAAAACACAGCACUGUGCAAACACGAAAGUGGACGUAUACGGUGUGACGCCUGCCCGGUGCCGGAAGGUUAAUUGAUGGGGUCAGCGCAAGCGAAGCUCCUGAUCGAAGCCCCGGUAAACGGCGGCCGUAACUAUAACGGUCCUAAGGUAGCGAAAUUCCUUGUCGGGUAAGUUCCGACCUGCACGAAUGGCGUAAUGAUGGCCAGGCUGUCUCCACCCGAGACUCAGUGAAAUUGAACUCGCUGUGAAGAUGCAGUGUACCCGCGGCAAGACGGAAAGACCCCGUGAACCUUUACUAUAGCUUGACACUGAACAUUGAGCCUUGAUGUGUAGGAUAGGUGGGAGGCUUUGAAGUGUGGACGCCAGUCUGCAUGGAGCCGACCUUGAAAUACCACCCUUUAAUGUUUGAUGUUCUAACGUGGACCCGUUACCCGGGUUGCGGACAGUGUCUGGUGGGUAGUUUGACUGGGGCGGUCUCCUCCUAAAGAGUAACGGAGGAGCACGAAGGUUGGCUAAUCCUGGUCGGACAUCAGGAGGUUAGUGCAAUGGCAUAAGCCAGCUUGACUGCGAGCGUGACGGCGCGAGCAGGUGCGAAAGCAGGUCAUAGUGAUCCGGUGGUUCUGAAUGGAAGGGCCAUCGCUCAACGGAUAAAAGGUACUCCGGGGAUAACAGGCUGAUACCGCCCAAGAGUUCAUAUCGACGGCGGUGUUUGGCACCUCGAUGUCGGCUCAUCACAUCCUGGGGCUGAAGUAGGUCCCAAGGGUAUGGCUGUUCGCCAUUUAAAGUGGUACGCGAGCUGGGUUUAGAACGUCGUGAGACAGUUCGGUCCCUAUCUGCCGUGGGCGCUGGAGAACUGAGGGGGGCUGCUCCUAGUACGAGAGGACCGGAGUGGACGCAUCACUGGUGUUCGGGUUGUCAUGCCAAUGGCACUGCCCGGUAGCUAAAUGCGGAAGAGAUAAGUGCUGAAAGCAUCUAAGCACGAAACUUGCCCCGAG
rnacentral:rRNA from 1 species